CCUACGGGAGGCUGCAGUAACGAAUCUUCCGCAAUGCACGAAAGUGUGACGGAGCAAUGCCGCGUGCAGGAUGAAGCCCCUCGGGGUGUAAACUGCUGUCAGGGUUUAGGAACACAAUGACCAGACCCAAAGGAAGAGGCGACUAACUCUGUGCCAGCAGUCGCGGUAAUACAGAGGCCUCGAGCGUUAAUCGGAAUCACUGGGCUUAAAGCGUACGUAGGCGGGCGCGCAGGCAUCUUGUGAAAUCCCACGGCUUAACCGUGGAACUGCUUGGUGAACCGCGCGUCUAGAGUCAGGUAGGGGCCGCCGGAACGAUAGGUGGAGCGGUGAAAUGCGUUGAUAUCUAUCGGAACGCCAAAGGUGAAGACAGGCGGCUGGGCCUGCACUGACGCUGAGGUACGAAAGCGUGGGGAGCAAACGGGAUUAGAUACCCUUGUAGU
rnacentral:rRNA from 1 species